ACCAUUACGAGAAAGCAUAACGCGUCUCCCCAUUUUGUUGCAACAUCAAAAGAGCAGAAGAGAUGUGUAAAACGGAAGACACACCUGAAAUAAGAGGCACGUGGAAAAUGUUUGGAAAGUUUUGAAGAAAAUUAACUUGGUAUUUGCUUUUCAAGAAACUAGAUAGGAAAAAAUUAUUGUAAAGUUAAAAGCAGAGAGUGUUGAAAUAGUUUUUUUUUUUUUAGCGUAAGUUUCAUGCCUUUUCGAAAUUAAAAUCAGUGAUUUAUUUACUCGAAUAAUCAGAUUAAUUCUCAAUUGAGAAAUAAAGAUUUGGAAAUGACAAACAAAGGAAGGAAGGAGAGUGUCCAGAAAAGAAGAUAAAUUUAAUGACAUGUUUCAUUGCGCUUUUCAAGAAACUAGAUAGGAAAAAAUUAUUGUAAAGUUAAAAGCAGAGAGUGUUGAA
rnacentral:lncRNA from 1 species